CUAGGAUAAAUUUUACAUAACAUAUUCUUGUCCAAAAUUAAAAUAUACUAGUAUAGUAUUUGUAUAUGCAAAAACUAAGAAGACAUACAUACAAGUAUGAAAAAUGUGAAAGAAUAUAUAAACACUCGUGAUUUAUCAUUAUUCCUUCACGAAUAGAUAAUUGUUACACUUAUAUUAUCGUUUAGAUUUUUAAAAUCCUUCAAACCCUCAUGAAUAAUGUUUUUUAUUUGAGGGCAAAAUUAAUAAUAAUUAUUGUAGAAGUGUAAAAAAUGUAAAAAAAUAUAUAUACAAUCACUCAUAUAUAAAAAAUGUAAAUACUUUAAAUUAAAGAUCAAAUUUAUUCAUUACAUUCUUAUAGGGUCGAGGAGUGUAUAUGUACAAAAUCAUCAAAAUCGGAGCUAAAAUAACCGUUAAAUUGUGAUUUUUCGUUUAUAACCGUCGAAAACUUUUGUUCCGUUACGUAAUCUCUGAAUGUUUGUUUUUUACAAUUUUUUACGUUUGCAAUCUCGGAAUGUGUACAAAUAAGUAUGACGGUUGGAUCGUUGAAAAAUGUUUCGUAGAAUACAUAUUGCAUCAAAACGGUAGAUUAAACAAACACUUAGAGUUAAUAUUAUACUUCUAUUAAGUAUAAAAUAAGUUUUUGUGGUAUCCACUAGUGUAAAUACUUUAAAUUAAAGAUCAAAUUUAUUCAUUACAUUCAUAUAGGGUCGAGGAGUGUAUCUGUAAAAAAUCAUCAAAAUCGGAGCUAAAAUAACCGUUAAAUUGUGAUUUUUUUGUUUACAACAUUUGAUAACUUUUGUUCCGUUAUGUAAUCUCUGAAUGUUUGUUUUUUACGAUUUUUUACGUAUGAAAUCUUGCAAUGUGUACAAAUAAGUUUGACGGUUGGAUUGUUAAAAAAAGUUUUGUAGAAUGCAUAUUACAUCAAAAUAGUAGAUUAAACAAACACUUAAAGUUAAUAUUAUACUUCUAUUAAGUAUAAAAAAGAUUUUGUGGUAUCCAUUAGUGUAAAUACUUUAAAUUAAAGAUCAGAUUUAUUCAUUACAUUCUUAUAGGGUCGAGGAGUGUAUCUGUAAAAAAUCAUCAAAAUCGGAGCUAAAAUAAUCGUUAAAUUGUGAUUUUUCGUUUAUAACCGUCGAAAACUUUUGUUCCGUUACGUAAUCUCUGAAUGUUUGUUUUUUACGAUUUUUUAUGUAUGCGAUCUCAAAAUGUGUACAAAUAAGUUUGACGGUUGGAUCGUUGAAAAAAGUUUCGUAGAAUGCAUAUUGCGUCAAAACAAUAGAUUAAACAAACACUUGAGUUAAUAUUAUACUUCUAUUAAGUAUAAAAUAAGUUUUGUGGUAUCCACUAGUGUAAAUACUUUAAAUUAAAGAUCAAAUUUAUUCAUUACAUUC
rnacentral:lncRNA from 1 species